CACGUAGGGGGCAAGCGUUGUCCGGAUUUAUUGGGCGUAAAGAGCUCGUAGGUGGUUCGGUAAGUCGGGUGUUAAACCCCCAGGCUCAACCUGGGGACGCCACUCGAUACUGCUGUGACUAGAGUCCGGUAGGGGAGCGUGGAAUUCCUGGUGUAGCGGUGAAAUGCGCAGAUAUCGGUAGGAACACCAGUGGCGAAGGCGGUCUCCUGGGGCAUUCUUGACGCUGAGGCGCGAAAGCUGGGGGAGCGAACGGG
rnacentral:rRNA from 1 species